rnacentral:rRNA from 1 species
AAAUUGAAGAGUUUGAUCAUGGCUCAGAUUGAACGCUGGCGGCAGGCCUAACACAUGCAAGUCGAACGGUAACAGGAAGCAGCUUGCUGCUUCGCUGACGAGUGGCGGACGGGUGAGUAAUGUCUGGGAAACUGCCUGAUGGAGGGGGAUAACUACUGGAAACGGUGGCUAAUACCGCAUAACGUCGCAAGACCAAAGAGGGGGACCUUCGGGCCUCUUGCCAUCAGAUGUGCCCAGAUGGGAUUAGCUAGUUGGUGAGGUAACGGCUCACCAAGGCGACGAUCCCUAGCUGGUCUGAGAGGAUGACCAGCCACACUGGAACUGAGACACGGUCCAGACUCCUACGGGAGGCAGCAGUGGGGAAUAUUGCACAAUGGGCGCAAGCCUGAUGCAGCCAUGCCGCGUGUAUGAAGAAGGCCUUCGGGUUGUAAAGUACUUUCAGCGGGGAGGAAGGUGUUGUGGUUAAUAACCACAGCAAUUGACGUUACCCGCAGAAGAAGCACCGGCUAACUCCGUGCCAGCAGCCGCGGUAAUACGGAGGGUGCAAGCGUUAAUCGGAAUUACUGGGCGUAAAGCGCACGCAGGCGGUCUGUCAAGUCGGAUGUGAAAUCCCCGGGCUCAACCUGGGAACUGCAUUCGAAACUGGCAGGCUUGAGUCUUGUAGAGGGGGGUAGAAUUCUAGGUGUAGCGGUGAAAUGCGUAGAGAUCUGGAGGAAUACCGGUGGCGAAGGCGGCCCCCUGGACAAAGACUGACGCUCAGGUGCGAAAGCGUGGGGAGCAAACAGGAUUAGAUACCCUGGUAGUCCACGCCGUAAACGAUGUCUACUUGGAGGUUGUGCCCUUGAGGCGUGGCUUCCGGAGCUAACGCGUUAAGUAGACCGCCUGGGGAGUACGGCCGCAAGGUUAAAACUCAAAUGAAUUGACGGGGGCCCGCACAAGCGGUGGAGCAUGUGGUUUAAUUCGAUGCAACGCGAAGAACCUUACCUGGUCUUGACAUCCACAGAAGAAUCCAGAGAUGGAUUUGUGCCUUCGGGAACUGUGAGACAGGUGCUGCAUGGCUGUCGUCAGCUCGUGUUGUGAAAUGUUGGGUUAAGUCCCGCAACGAGCGCAACCCUUAUCCUUUGUUGCCAGCGGUUAGGCCGGGAACUCAAAGGAGACUGCCAGUGAUAAACUGGAGGAAGGUGGGGAUGACGUCAAGUCAUCAUGGCCCUUACGACCAGGGCUACACACGUGCUACAAUGGCGCAUACAAAGAGAAGCGACCUCGCGAGAGCAAGCGGACCUCAUAAAGUGCGUCGUAGUCCGGAUUGGAGUCUGCAACUCGACUCCAUGAAGUCGGAAUCGCUAGUAAUCGUGGAUCAGAAUGCCACGGUGAAUACGUUCCCGGGCCUUGUACACACCGCCCGUCACACCAUGGGAGUGGGUUGCAAAAGAAGUAGGUAGCUUAACCUUCGGGAGGGCGCUUACCACUUUGUGAUUCAUGACUGGGGUGAAGUCGUAACAAGGUAACCGUAGGGGAACCUGCGGUUGGAUCACCUCCUUACCUUAAAGAAGC